GAUGAACGCUGGCGGCGUGCCUAAUACAUGCAAGUCGAGCGAACAGAUAAGGAGCUUGCUCCUUUGACGUUAGCGGCGGACGGGUGAGUAACACGUGGGUAACCUACCUAUAAGACUGGGAUAACUUCGGGAAACCGGAGCUAAUACCGGAUAACAUUUGGAACCGCAUGGUUCUAAAGUGAAAGAUGGUUUUGCUAUCACUUAUAGAUGUACCCGGUCCGUAUUAGCUAGUUGGUAAGGUAACGGCUUACCAAGGCAACGAUACGUAGCCGACCUGAGAGGGUGAUCGGCCACACUGGAACUGAGACACGGUCCAGACUCCUACGGGAGGCGGCAGUAGGGAAUCUUCCGCAAUGGGCGAAAGCCUGACGGAGCAACGCCGCGUGAGUGAUGAAGGGUUUCGGCUCGUAAAACUCUGUUAUUAGGGAAGAACAAACGUGUAAGUAACUGUGCACGUCUUGACGGUACCUAAUCAGAAAGCCACGGCUAACUACGUG
rnacentral:rRNA from 1 species